AACGAACGCUGCGGCAGGCCUAAUACAUGCAAGUCGAACGGAUGUAGCAAUACAUUAGUGGCGCACGGGUGCCUAACGCGUGGGAACAUACCCUUGAGUAAGGAAUAAUGUCUGGAAACGGACACUAAUACCUUAUAAUGACUUCGGUCCAAAGAUUCAUCGCUCAAGGAUUGGCCCGCGUCUGAUUAGCUAGUUGGUGAGGUAACGGCUCACCAAGGCGACGAUCAGUAGCUGGUCUGAGAGGAUGAUCAGCCACACUGGGACUGAGACACGGCCCAGACUCCUACGGGAGGCAGCAGUAAGGAAUAUUGGACAAUGGGGGCAACCCUGAUCCAGCCAUGCCGCGUGAGUGAUGAAGGCCUUAGGGUUGUAAAGCUCUUUCGUCGGGGAAGAUAAUGACGGUACCCGAAGAAGAAGCCUCGGCUAACUCCGUGCCAGCCGCCGCCGUAA
rnacentral:rRNA from 1 species